rnacentral:rRNA from 1 species
ACAGAUCGUUCAGAGUUUGAUCCUGGCUCAGGAUGAACGCUGGCGGCGUGCCUAACACAUGCAAGUCGAGCGAGAAUUUAUCGAUUGAUCCUUCGGGUGAUUUUGAUAAAGGAAAGCGGCGGACGGGUGAGUAACGCGUGAGUAACCUGCCCUUAAGUGGAGGAUAACACGUCGAAAGAUGUGCUAAUACUGCAUAAUGUAUAUUAUUCGCAUGUUUGAUAUACCAAAGAUUUAUUGCUUAAGGAUGGACUCGCGUCUGAUUAGUUAGUUGGUGAGGUAACGGCUCACCAAGACGAUGAUCAGUAGCCGAACUGAGAGGUUGAUCGGCCACAUUGGGACUGAGACACGGCCCAG